GAUAGCUCAGUCGGUAGAGCGACGGACUGUUAAUCCGCAGGUCACAGGUUCGAGCCCUGUUC
rnacentral:tRNA from 2 species